rnacentral:tRNA from 1 species
GCCUGGCUCAGUCAGUAGAGCAUGUGACUCCUGAUCUCAGGGUCAUGAGUUCAAGCCCCAUGCUGGGCC